rnacentral:rRNA from 1 species
CCAGUGUGUUUCGACACACUAUCAUUAACUGAAUCCAUAGGUUAAUGAGGCGAACCGGGGGAACUGAAACAUCUAAGUACCCCGAGGAAAAGAAAUCAACCGAGAUUCCCCCAGUAGCGGCGAGCGAACGGGGAGCAGCCCAGAGCCUGAAUCAGUAUGUGUGUUAGUGGAAGCGUCUGGAAAGGCGCGCGAUACAGGGUGACAGCCCCGUACACAAAAAUGCACAUGCUGUGAGCUCGAUGAGUAGGGCGGGACACGUGGUAUCCUGUCUGAAUAUGGGGGGACCAUCCUCCAAGGCUAAAUACUCCUGACUGACCGAUAGUGAACCAGUACCGUGAGGGAAAGGCGAAAAGAACCCCGGCGAGGGGAGUGAAAAAGAACCUGAAACCGUGUACGUACAAGCAGUGGGAGCACGCUUAGGCGUGUGACUGCGUACCUUUUGUAUAAUGGGUCAGCGACUUAUAUUCUGUAGCAAGGUUAACCGAAUAGGGGAGCCGAAGGGAAACCGAGUCUUAACUGGGCGUUAAGUUGCAGGGUAUAGACCCGAAACCCGGUGAUCUAGCCAUGGGCAGGUUGAAGGUUGGGUAACACUAACUGGAGGACCGAACCGACUAAUGUUGAAAAAUUAGCGGAUGACUUGUGGCUGGGGGUGAAAGGCCAAUCAAACCGGGAGAUAGCUGGUUCUCCCCGAAAGCUAUUUAGGUAGCGCCUCGUGAAUUCAUCUCCGGGGGUAGAGCACUGUUUCGGCAAGGGGGUCAUCCCGACUUACCAACCCGAUGCAAACUGCGAAUACCGGAGAAUGUUAUCACGGGAGACACACGGCGGGUGCUAACGUCCGUCGUGAAGAGGGAAACAACCCAGACCGCCAGCUAAGGUCCCAAAGUCAUGGUUAAGUGGGAAACGAUGUGGGAAGGCCCAGACAGCCAGGAUGUUGGCUUAGAAGCAGCCAUCAUUUAAAGAAAGCGUAAUAGCUCACUGGUCGAGUCGGCCUGCGCGGAAGAUGUAACGGGGCUAAACCAUGCACCGAAGCUGCGGCAGCGACGCUGAUGCGUUGUUGGGUAGGGGAGCGUUCUGUAAGCCUGCGAAGGUGUGCUGUGAGGCAUGCUGGAGGUAUCAGAAGUGCGAAUGCUGACAUAAGUAACGAUAAAGCGGGUGAAAAGCCCGCUCGCCGGAAGACCAAGGGUUCCUGUCCAACGUUAAUCGGGGCAGGGUGAGUCGACCCCUAAGGCGAGGCCGAAAGGCGUAGUCGAUGGGAAACAGGUUAAUAUUCCUGUACUUGGUGUUACUGCGAAGGGGGGACGGAGAAGGCUAUGUUGGCCGGGCGACGGUUGUCCCGGUUUAAGCGUGUAGGCUGGUUUUCCAGGCAAAUCCGGAAAAUCAAGGCUGAGGCGUGAUGACGAGGCACUGCGGUGCUGAAGCAACAAAUGCCCUGCUUCCAGGAAAAGCCUCUAAGCAUCAGGUAACAUCAAAUCGUACCCCAAACCGACACAGGU